CCUACGGGUGGCAGCAGUAAGGAAUAUUGGGCAAUGGCCGCAAGUCUGACCCAGCCAUGCCGCGUGGAGGAUGAAGGCCCUCUGGGUUGUAAACUUCUUUUAUUUGGGAAGAACUGUAGGUUUUCUAACUUACUUGACGGUACCAGAUGAAUAAGCACCGGCUAACUCCGUACCAGCAGCCGCGGUAAUACAGAGGGUGCAAGCGUUAUCCGGAUUCACUGGGUUUAAAGGGUUCGUAGGCGGGCAGUUAAGUCAGUGGUGAAAUCUCCGGGCUCAACCCGGAAACUGCCGUUGAUACUAUCUGCCUUGAAUAACGUUGAGGUGAGCGGAAUAUGUCAUGUAGCGGUGAAAUGCUUAGAUAUGACAUAGAACACCGAUUGCGAAGGCAGCUCACUAAACGCUCAUUGACGCUGAGGCACGAAAGCGUGGGGAUCAAACAGGAUUAGAUACCCUGGUAGUC
rnacentral:rRNA from 1 species